rnacentral:lncRNA from 10 species
GAGUCACUCCCAGGUUUGGCCCAUAAAAUCCUCCUCUGUGGGCUUGCCUGUGCUUUUAUUUGCUUCUGGCUGGAUGAGAUGGAGAAACCAUAAGAUCCUUGCAGGCAACAUGUUGAUGAUGAACGAGAUUCUAUCUGCCUGAAUCCUUGAAUAUCUGCAGGGAAGAGAGUUGCCCACCUCCACCAGGAAUUCUCGCAUAACUCUAUUUGAGAAAAAAAUACACUUCCAUUAAAUUUCAGCCAUUUCUUAUGACUGGG